AUGGACGCUGUCACAGGACAUAGAACCCAUGCCACCACAUGCCUCGUCCAAAGGAUUUACACACGCACAAACGCAACAUAACGCGGCACUCCACCAUGGAUCACCGAACCAAACCACCGCUAACACCACCGCCACCAGAAAACAGCAGAGUGCUCCGAACAAUCAGCACAACGCAAAUGGCUGAUAAUGAUAGCCUAAUGCUAUACAGCAUCUGGGUCGCUGAGCUACCGCACCCAGCGAGCUACAAGCUACUCUCAGCCAACUAACACCGACACAGUGAGGAUAGAGAGCCGUGAAACCCUGUCUGCAGAGGAAGAGGUCCCAGUGAAUGUCCCAACAGAAUAAGGCUGAUAAUGGAAUGGGAAUGCCAACGCCAAUGCCUACGCCAAUGCCAAUGCCAAUGCCAACGCCAAUGCCAAUGCCAA